ACAAAUAGACCUUUUGGACCUUGGGGACCUUGGAAAAUCAUAUGGAUACGAAUAAAAAUCAUGAAGUGGCUUACGUUACUUAAUAAUAAUAUUGCGAUAGUUGCGUUUCUAUGGUAAUCGCCUACCAAAAUAAAUUACUACAUAAAAAAAAAAACACGAUAACAUUUACGACAUGAAACUGCAAAUAGUUUUACAGCAGUUAAAUAUUAAAAUUCCAAAAUCGUUUUUAACAACCAUUUAGUAACUGAGCAAGAGACAAGGAUGAGCGGAUCUGAUAGUUUUGUAGCAUCAGUCGAUGGUGAAAUUAAGUGCAGAAAUGCUUUUGGCUUAUCAGUAGAUUUAAGAUCAUUAUUUGAAUGUCUCGACUAUGUUUUACCACCAAUAUUACAUCGCCAAAGUGGAUAUUUAGUAUGCAAUACAUGACGUCAACUACAAUUCAACUAUUGUCCGAUGUGCCGCGGUCCAUUGGGAAAUUUACACAAUUUAGUGAUGGAAAAAUAGCCUCAACAGACAAGUUUCCGUGUAAAUAUUAAGGUUGUUUCUGUAUCAUUAUUGCAUUCUGAAAAAUUCGAACCCGAAGAACUGUUGUAUGAAUGCCGUCCUUACACUUGUCUUUGCGACCUUACCUUGCUGUUCUUCUUGUGAAUGACAAGAUGGAUUAAAACAAGUCAUGAAGCACUUGAUGGACGUAGAUGAAUUUAUAACGACUUUACAAGA